rnacentral:rRNA from 1 species
CGAUGAACGCUAGCUACAGGCUUAACACAUGCAAGUCGAGGGAAACGAUAUUGAAAGCUUGCUUCUUAGGCGUCGACCGGCGAAUGGGUGAGUAACGCGUAUCCAACCUGCCCCUGAGUAAGGGAUAGCCCAUCGAAAGAUGGAUUAAUACCUUAUGGUUCCUUUGAAGGCAUCAGAUUAGGAAUAAAGAUUUAUCGCUGAGGGAUGGGGAUGCGUCUGAUUAGCUUGUUGGCGGGGUAACGGCCCACCAAGGCGACGAUCAGUAGGGGUUCUGAGAGGAAGGUCCCCCACAUUGGUACUGAGACACGGACCAAACUCCUACGGGAGGCAGCAGUGAGGAAUAUUGGUCAAUGGGCGCAAGCCUGAACCAGCCAAGCAGCGUGCAGGAAUGACUGCCCUAUGGGUUGUAAACUGCUUUUAUACGGGGAUAAAGUCAGAGUCGUGACUCUGUUUGCAGGUACCGUAUGAAUAAGGACCGGCUAAUUCCGUGCCAGCAGCAGC